rnacentral:tRNA from 1 species
GGGCUUGUGGCGCAGUGGUAGCGCACCGGCGCGGCAUGCCGGGGGUCGACGGUUCGAGUCCGUCCAGGUCCAC